AGUCUCUUGGUCUCCUAUCCCGACGGUGCCUCUGACCUCUCCCUCCCCUCCUCUCCCACUCCUCCAGAGUUCGAACGCCCUGCUUCUCCAUCUCCACCGUGCAAUAUGCUCACCGAUGGUCGAACCCCGACACCAAUGCAUUAGAUGAAGGAGAUCCUUUCCCGCUAUCCCUCUCUCUGUCUCCCUCUCUCUAUCUCUCAGUCUCCCACUCUCCCUCUCAAUCGAGGACACGAGAUCCCUCCAUCG
rnacentral:lncRNA from 1 species